GAUGAACGCUGGCGGCGUGCCUAAUACAUGCAAGUCGAGCGAACGGACGAGAAGCUUGCUUCUCUGAUGUUAGCGGCGGACGGGUGAGUAACACGUGGAUAACCUACCUAUAAGACUGAGAUAACUUCGGGAAACCGGAUCUAAUACCGGAUAAUAUUUUGAACCGCAUGGUUCAAAAGUGAAAGACGGUCUUGCUGUCACUUAUAGAUGGAUCCGCGCUGCAUUAGCUAGUUGGUAAGGUAACGGCUUACCAAGGCAACGAUGCAUAGCCGACCUGAGAGGGUGAUCGGCCACACUGGAACUGAGACACGGUCCAGACUCCUACGGGAGGCAGCAGUAGGGAAUCUUCCGCAAUGGGCGAAAGCCUGACGGAGCAACGCCGCGUGAGUGAUGAAGGUCUUCGGAUCGUAAAACUCUGUUAUUAGGGAAGAACAUAUGUGUAAGUAACUGUGCCCAUCUUGACGGUACCUAAUCAGAAAGCCACGGCUAACUACGUG
rnacentral:rRNA from 1 species